GGCUCAGUUCAAAGUGCCCGUGGUCUGUUGGUGAUCGGGCGGCCAUUUUAGUCACUUCGCGGGAACUCAGGAAACAGUAGCAGCUGCAGUUGGAGUGGGAGGAGCGGCAACAAGGACUGGAGGCCCAACGGGAAGGAAAGGAUCAUGUGAUAUCCACCGGUACUUGCUGAUAUGACAUCUUACACGGUGGCCUGGACAACUUCAGGUGUCUCAACGUCCCAGAAUUGCAGCAGUGCAUGUGAGGAUGAGAGAGAUAAAAAUGAAGUGAGGGAAAAGAAGAGAAAGAAAGCAUAAAGAUGAAGGAGCAGCACUCUGAAAGCUAGUGCUUCCAAAUAAACCUG